AACGAACGCCGGCGGCAUGCCUAACACAUGCAAGUCGAACGAGACCUUCGGGUCUAGUGGCGCACGGGUGCGUAACGCGGGGGAACCUGCCCUUAGGUUCGGAAUAACUCCCCGAAAGGGGUGCUAAUACCGGAUAAUGUCUUCGGACCAAAGAUUUAUCGCCUUUGGAUGGGGCCGCGUUGGAUUAGCUAGUUGGUAGGGUAAAAGCCUACCAAGGCGACGAUCCAUGGCUGGUCUGAGAGGAUGAUCAGCCACACUGGGACUGAGACACGGCCCAGACUGCUACGGGAGGCAGCAGUGGGGAAUAUUGGAGAAUGGGCGAAAGCCUGAUCCAGCAAUGCCGCGUGAGUGAUGAAGGCCUUAGGGUUGUAAAGCUCUUUUACCCGGGAUGAUAAUGACAGUACCGGGAGAAUAAGCACCGGCUAACUCCGUG
rnacentral:rRNA from 1 species